GACGAACGCUGGCGGCGUGCUUAACACAUGCAAGUCGAACGAAGUGGCGAACGGGUGAGUAACGCGUAAUCAACCUGCCCUUCAGAGGGGGACAACAGUUGGAAACGACUGCUAAUACCGCAUACUGAAGGAGGGGAUUGCGUCUGAUUAGCUAGUUGGAGGGGUAACGGCCCACCAAGGCGAUGAUCAGUCGCCGGUCCGAGAGGAUGAACGGCCAAAUGUGGACUGAGAAAAGGCCCAGACUUCGACGGGAUGCAGCAGGGGGGAAUCUGCCGAAAUGGACGAAAGUCUGACGGAGCAACGCCGCGUGAGUGAUGACGGCCUUCGGGUUGGAAAGCUCUGUUAAUCGGGACGCGGUACCGGAAUAGAAAGCCACGGCUAACUACGUGCCAGCAGCCGCGGUAAUUC
rnacentral:rRNA from 1 species